AAAAAGCUUGGAGAAUAAGGGUGUGGGCAAGACCGGUGGCAGCCGCCGCGGUAACACCGGCGCCUCAAGUGGUGCUCACGAUUAUUGGGCUUAAAGCGCCCGUAGCCGGUUUGGUGUGUGCACUGUGAAAUGUUAGGGCUCAACCCUAACGCGUGCAGUGUAUACUACCAGACUAGGGAGCGGGGGAGGGGGAAGGUACGUUCAGGCUAGCGGUAAAAUGCGUUGAACCUGAACGGACCACCAGUGGCGAAGGCGUUCCUCCAAAACGCGUCCGACGGUGAGGGGCGAAGGCUAGGGGAGCAAAAGGGAUUAGAUACCCCUGUAGUCCUAGCUGUAAAUGAUGCCCACUGCUCCUUACUGAUGCUCUGUGCAUUGGUAGAGGGGUAAGCGAAAGCGUUAAGUGGGCCGCCUGGGGAGUACGCCGCAAGAUUCCAAUUCAUG
rnacentral:rRNA from 1 species